rnacentral:lncRNA from 1 species
GGAAAGAUAUUUCCUACUGGUGUGAUUUUUGUCUUGUUCUACCACACACUCUUCAUCAAUAUCACUAUAUGGAGCUUUUCUAGGUCUCAUGUAUUUUGGGCUUCUUUAAUAUCUGUAUUAUUUCACUGCCAGAGCCAUACUUUAUUGAAAUACACAUAUGGCAUCUCUUUGACCACUGAGUAAUAAUGAGUGAUUGCCAGGUAGCUUUUAAAAUAUUAACAAAAAUCCAUAAUUGUAUACUAAACUGCAUUGAGUUCAUUACAUUGUUCCCUGGCUAAGCAUGGAAUGAUGUUUAGAGAGAAGAAAAGCUUAUCUCUCUGAUCUCCCUAGCCAAUUACCUCUGAGCACUGGCUAUAUGAGAUAUCACAACAGCCAAUCACCUCUGAGUGCUGGCUACCCAAGGCAUUGCUACAGAAAAAUACUGCAAGCUGUGGAAAUAUAAGAUAUCAACGUGCUGGCAUGUUCUUCCCUGAAAAAGACACAUUCAAGAGAUGGAAUGAGAAACCAUUUUCUUUGGGAUAAACAAACAAAAUGAGAAGUUGGUGAAUCAAGCAAAAUCACAUUCUCAUAGGCACAUGUAUCACAGGAUCAUCAGGGGACUCUAUGGAUGCUGCUGAACUGAUAAUGACACAAAAUAUGUGAAGAGGCAAGGAAAUCUCAACCAAAUAAUAAUCUCUGUAAUAACAUUAUUAUGUUCCUUUUUUAAUAUGGUAAAAGAAAAGACAUUAUGACAUACUAUUUGGAAUAACUGUGAAAAAAUGUUCAAAUAUUAACAUUUGUGUAAAAACAACUAAAAUGAUAAAACAUUUGUCUGUUAGUGAGGAAAUGAAUUGACUAUAAGUUUCACGUACCAACAUGUAAAAUACUAGUACAUAACCUUCCCAUUGGAAAGACAGGAGCAUACGAUUUAUACUGACCAUACGAAGGAUUGUAAGAUUUUGUGUUGAAAGCAGGACACAAAUCUGAAGCAGUAGUUAAAAUUGCCCGAAAAGUUUGCUGACAGUGUGUUGAGAAUCAAACAGACAUGAGAAAGAAAUUCUCUAUUAAAAUAGAGCCACGG